GUCUUGUUAGUGUUAGGACAGAGGUUGGACUAGAUGAUCUUGGAGGUCUCUUCCAACCUAGACGAUUCAGUGAUUCUGUGUUUCUGGGUGCCUAAUGGAAGGCAACCUACCCCCGCAUCACUACAUCUUCCAUCAAGAAAGGAAGGAGGGUUAUUGUCAUAAGGGACUCCCUUCUGAAAGGGACAGAGUGCCUGAUUUGCCAUCUGGACCCAACACACAGGGAAGUCUGCUGCCUCCCUUGGGCUCGGGUAAGAGACAUUGCCAGGAAAGUCACUCGCCUGGUAGGGCCCUCUGACUACGACCCAUUACUUGUUUUUCAAGCUGGUAGUGAUGAGGUAGCAAGGACAAGUCCAAGGGCAAUCAAAAAGGACUUUAGGGCUUUGGGUUGACUGGUUAAAGGAUCAGGGGCACAGGUUGUGUUUCGUUCUGUCCUUCCAGUAGCAGGGAUCAAACUCAACAGGCAGACUCAGCUCAUCAAUAUGUGGCUCUGAGACUGCUGCCACAGGCAGAACUUUGGGUUUGUUGAUCAUGGGAAUCUCUACGUGACACCAGGCCUGCUGGCAGCAGCUGGGAUGCACCUCUCUUAGAAGGGGAAAAGCAUUUUUGCCCAGGAGUUAGCAGGGCUGAUAGAUAGGGCUUUAAACUAGAGUUGAAGGGGGAAAGGGAUAAAAUCAGGCACGCCAGUGAUAAGCUAUGGUAUGGCAUGCCAAAAUCAGAGGGACUGCGUGCUAGUGAGGUCCUUCAGUUUGCUCCACGAGGUGUUGCAUACAAUGAGUUGCAUUUGAAGUGCUUCUACAUCAAUGCAUGCAGCAUGAGGGAUAAAUUGGAUGAGCUAGAAGUCUUGGCCCAGUCCCACAGCUACGACAUCAUCGGCAUAAGCGAAACCUGGUGGGAUGAGUCCUGUGACUGGUGUGUUGCAAUACAUGGUUACAGGCUCCUCAGGAGGGACAGACAGGUCAGGCAAGGUUGGGGGAUGGUGCUGUAUGUAAAAGAGGGGCUGGACUGUGUGGAGCUUGCAGUUGGUGAUGGCAAAGUUGAGAGCCUCUGGGUAAGGAUUAAGGGGCAAACAAAUAAAGGGGAUGUUGUUGUGGGAGUCUAUUACAGUCUACCCGGCCAGAAUGACAACACCAAUGAAUUAUUCUUUGCAGAACUAAGAGAUACCUCAAGAUCAACUGCCCUUGUCCUUAUGCAGGACUUUAACUCACCAGACAUUAAUUGGGAAUAUCAUGCAGCCGACACAAGUAGGUCCAGGAGGUGCUUGAUGUGUAGUAUCAAGCACUGGCACAGGCUGAGCAACAGCCCUGCCUGAAGUCCUCACAAGGGACUGGUAAGGAAGCCUCCGACCCUGACUUGGCACAACUGAUGGACUCAAAAGACAAGGGAAGCUGGACCCUCAUCUCUGCUCAGAGCAGAAGGAGUAAUCUCCCCCUUGCCCCCGAAGUGCCCCUGCACAAUAUAUAUGAUGCUCUGGGGCUCAAAAAAGGCGAGGAUAAUAAUAACAACAAUGGUAAUGGUCAAGCCCCAGGAAACGGCAACAGUAUAAAGUUGGACUAACAAGCCACGCGUAUAAGAACCAGUGCCACAAAAAAAGCACAAAGGGUAUUGGUAAUUGGAGAUUCCUUUCUGAGAGGCACUGAAGCACCCAUUUGCUGCCCACUCUCUCUCGAGAGGUUUACUGCCUCCAUGGGGCCCACAUUUGCGACAUCAGAAAGAGGCUACCAAGCUUGGUUAAACCAUACGACUACCACCCAUUCCUACUCGCCGAGGCAAUCGGCUCUGGGGCAGACACAUUCUGCAGUGGAGCAGGGGAUCGAGGCGGACAGGGCUCUUUUUCAGCAUCGAGGCUACUCGAAGCAGCCGAGGGAGACACCAGGACCCGGCAGCCCUAGCGAUUGAGGCUGAUGAGGCGUAGGUGGAGCCAGCAGUGCCCCCUCCCCUGACGUUCAAAAGCAGACCCUGGGGAAUGCGAGCAACCAAGAGCGCGGCAACCAGGACGGGCAAACAGGGCAUGGCGCAUCGGUAGGGCGAGGCGCGGUAGUGGGGCAAGGUGCAGCAGUUUGCGUGGCAGUGCAUGCAGGCAGGGCGCACUCAGGCAGGGCAGAGCGUCCCUCCCCACUCAUAAGAACAACUCAUCUACCUAUAGCUUAACCACCAUAGUCUCCACUGGGCAGAAAGCUCUUUUUAGAAAGUCUGUGGCAACCCAGACUGACCGCCCGCUCAACAAUGCGGCAGUUCAGGUCUCUGGGUACAGGGAGUGCCUGAGCCUGUUGCUGCCAUCAGAGGGUGCCAGAGACACUGUGUGUGUUAGG
ensembl:lncRNA